UACGGAAGGCAGCAGUGGGGAAUAUUGCACAAUGGGCGCAAGCCUGAUGCAGCCAUGCCGCGUGUAUGAAGAAGGCCUUCGGGUUGUAAAGUACUUUCAGCGGGGAGGAAGGCGAUGCGGUUAAUAACCGCGUCGAUUGACGUUACCCGCAGAAGAAGCACCGGCUAACUCCGUGCCAGCAGCCGCGGUAAUACGGAGGGUGCAAGCGUUAAUCGGAAUUACUGGGCGUAAAGCGCACGCAGGCGGUCUGUUAAGUCAGAUGUGAAAUCCCCCGGGCUUAACCUGGGAACUGCAUUUUGAACUGGCAGGCUUGAGUCUUGUAGAGGGGGUAGAAUUCCAGGUGUAGCGGUGAAAUGCGUAGAGAUCUGGAGGAAUCCGGUGGCGAAGGCGGCCCCUGGGACAAGACUGACGCUCAGGUGCGAAAGCGUGGGGAGCAAACAGGAUUAGAUACC
rnacentral:rRNA from 1 species